UACGGAGGAUGCGAGCGUUAUCCGGAUUUAUUGGGUUUAAAGGGUGCGUAGGCGGAUUAAUAAGUCAGCGGUGAAAACCUUCAGCUUAACUGGAGACUUGCCAUUGAUACUGUUAGUCUUGAGUACGGUCAAGGUAGGCGGAAUGUGUAAUGUAGCGGUGAAAUGCUUAGAUAUUACACAGAACACCGAUUGCGAAGGCAGCUUACUGGGCCAUUACUGACGCUGAGGCACGAAAGCGUGGGGAGCGAACAGG
rnacentral:rRNA from 1 species